CAAGUCGAACGAUUAAGACUUCCUUCGGGAAGUGCAUAAAGUGGCGCACGGGUGAGUAACACGUAAGUAAUCUACCUUUGAGUGGGGAAUAACCCGGGGAAACCCGAGCUAAUACCGCAUAAUGCAGCGGCAUCGCAAGAUGACAGUUGUUAAAGGAGCAAUCCGCUUAAAGAGGAGCUUGCGGCAGAUUAGCUAGUUGGUAAGGUAACGGCUUACCAAGGCUACGAUCUGUAUCCGGUCUAAGAGGACGGUCGGACACACUGACACUGAAUAACGGGUCAGACUCCUACGGGAGGCAGCAGUCGGGAAUUUUGGGCAAUGGGCGAAAGCCUGACCCAGCAACGCCGCGUGAAGGAUGAAGUAUUUCGGUAUGUAAACUUCGAAAGAAUAGGAAGAAUAAAUGACGGUACUAUUUAUAAGCUCCGGCUAACUACGUGCCAGCAGCCGCGGUAAUACGUAGGGAGCAAGCGUUGUUCGGAUUUACUGGGCGUAAAGGGCGCGUAGGCGGCAAAUCAAGUCAUCUGUGAAAUCUCCGGGCUUAACUCGGAACGGUCAGCUGAUACUGUUUUGCUAGAGUGCAGAAAGGGCAAUCGGAAUUCUUGGUGUAGCGGUGAAAUGCGUAGAUAUCAAGAGGAACACCUGAGGCGAAGGCGGGUUGCUAGGCUGACACUGACGCUGAGUGCGCGAAAGCCAGGGGAGCAAACGGGAUUAGAUACCCCGGUAGUCCUGGCCCUAAACGAUGAAUACUUGGUGUCUGGAGUUUCAAUACUCCGGGUGCCGUCGCUAACGUUUUUAGUAUUCCGCCUGGGGAGUACGCUCGCAAGAGUGAACUCAAAGGAAUUGACGGGGACCCGCACAAGCGGUGGA
rnacentral:rRNA from 1 species